rnacentral:rRNA from 1 species
UGGGGAAUAUUGCACAAUGGGCGCAAGCCUGAUGCAGCGACGCCGCGUGGGGGAUGACGGCCUUCGGGUUGUAAACUCCUUUCGCUAGGGACGAAGCUUUUUGUGACGGUACCUAGAUAAGAAGCACCGGCUAACUACGUGCCAGCAGCCGCGGUAAUACGUAGGGUGCGAGCGUUGUCCGGAAUUACUGGGCGUAAAGGGCUCGUAGGUGGUUGGUCGCGUCGUCUGUGAAAUUCCGGGGCUUAACUCCGGGCGUGCAGGCGAUACGGGCAUAACUUGAGUACUGUAGGGGUAACUGGAAUUCCUGGUGUAGCAGUGAAAUGCGCAGAUAUCAGGAGGAACACCGAUGGCGAAGGCAGGUUACUGGGCAGUUACUGACGCUGAGGAGCGAAAGCAUGGGUAGCGAACAGG